rnacentral:lncRNA from 1 species
UAAAUUUCUCAUACAUUCCAUUGCCCAAAUUAAUGCCUCCAUCUCCGAAUGAAGCGGUGAAAGACACGCCCUUACAUUUCUUGCCCCUAGUAAACCAUCAUACCCUGGUAAUGUACUGAGCCAACCUUUCCCUGAAAAUAGAUCCUUAUCUUUUCAUGAACCAUCUGUGAAGAACUAUCUGUGAAGCACCAUCUUCCUGUGGUUCCUAAGUUAGGCAUGACAUGUACUUCUUGUGCACACAUGUUGUUACUAACCUGUGCCUCAGUCCAAAAUGUUGAUUCUACUUCUGCUAGUCGAAGUGUUUUCCUGAGAUCAAUAUCAAGAUUACUGAAUACUUUAUUGUUCCGACCCU